rfam:Gossypium hirsutum cultivar TM-1 chromosome 9, whole genome shotgun sequence
UGUUAAAAUUUCAUCCAUCUGUGCUAUUAAAAGCUAGCGUGGAUGGCAGAAUUACCAGACAGUGACCUGUGACGUACCACAUGUAAUUCAUACUGACAUAUAUGGACCAGUUUUUAACAGUAGAAAUGAAUGAAACUUUUAACA